GGAUUUGUAGUGCAAUGGUUCAGCAUGCUCUCCCGGAAAGAACGAGAUCUGAGUUCGAAUCCCAGCUGACUCA